AGUGAACGCUGGCGGUAGGCCUAACACAUGCAAGUCGAACGGCAGCACAGUAAGAGCUUGCUCUUACGGGUGGCGAGUAGCGGACGGGUGAGGAAUACAUCGGAAUCUACUUUUUCGUGGGGGAUAACGUAGGGAAACUUACGCUAAUACCGCAUACGACCUACGGGUGAAAGCAGGGGAUCUUCGGACCUUGCGCGAUUGAAUGAGCCGAUGUCGGAUUAGCUAGUUGGCGGGGUAAAGGCCCACCAAGGCGACGAUCCGUAGCUGGUCUGAGAGGAUGAUCCGCCACCCUGGAACUGAGACACGGUCCAGACUCCUACGGGAGGCAGCAGUGGGGAAUAUUGGACAAUGGGCGCAAGCCUGAUCCAGCCAUACCGCGUGGGUGAAGAAGGCCUUCGGGUUGUAAAGCCCUUUUGUUGGGAAAGAAAAGCAGCAGGUUAAUACCCCGCUGUUCUGACGGUACCCAAAGAAUAAGCACCGGCUAACUUCGUG
rnacentral:rRNA from 1 species